rnacentral:snRNA from 1 species
AUCGCUUCUCAGCCUUUUGGCUAAGAUCAAGUGUAGUAUCUAAUCUGUGUCUCAGUGGGGCUCUUUUCUUACUGUCUCUUUUCAGUCAGGGACUCACGUUCUAUCACUCUCUGGCUCUCCCAGAGCCAAGCCCAC